ACACACGGUUCUCCCUUCGUUCUGUCAAUGUUUCAACCCGAAUAUAGUGUAUCUAUGACCAUCAUAAAAUGAAAAUAUAUUAAAAUUUUCCUAAUUUUGUGCAAUCUGUCUCGUCUCUAAUGUGACUAAAACUUACAAAAAUAAAGGAACAAGUAGACUCAUUUCUUUAGUUUGUUGAAAUGUCGGAUUAAGUCUUGCCUUGCCAGUUAAAAAACGAAAGCAUUGUUCAUAAUCACGGGAUUUUUCGUCGCUUUCUGCUACCGUUUUUUUUUCUUUCGUCUCUCGUUCAUCAAAAUAUAUGUGUGGAAUAAACAACGAAAUUCUAUUUCCAAAUGUAGACAUUUUUUGUGUGUGCUUUUUACUGUGAAGUGUGUGCUUUUGUGAUUAAAUGAAAGAAAAAAGGAAAAAUUUGUGAAAAUUUAUUGAUGCAUUUUCCCAGACGGAUGUGGUCGUUAAAUUGUUUCACUGUAAAAAUCGUACAAUUUUAAUGAAAAACCAAACGACGAAUAACUCGUUAAAUUGUCUUGGAAAUAUAUCAUACUCAUUAUAUGGAUAAAAAUUUGUUCAUUGUUCAUGUGUGGUGGGUGUAAUAUAAAAUUGGAUUUCUUGGGCACCUAAUAUACAACUGAAACUUUAUGAAAGUUAAGUGCGGAAAACGAAGCGAAAAAGGAAAAGCUUGAAGAGAACAAAAGCCGGAAAAACGUAAAUAUCAAGAACGCUAAAUAAAUACUCUUUGACUUAACAUAUAUUACAUGUAUAUAGAUGUGUAUGUGUUUGUAUAGUAUAAAAUAUCCUAUAAUGCCGUGUUGUUGCUGCGCAUAUAAGUACAUAUAAACCAUGAUUAGAUUGUGUUUGCAGAAAUAAUAAUGCUCUAAGGUGGCACAUAUUAUUCAAAAUGCUCAGAAAUUAUUCAACAAAAGAUUGUUGGAGUGCAUCACUAUUGUCGGCUGUUAUUGUGAAUGACGAACGAACCAUCCAAGUGUACUCAUAAAUUCAAAAAGAGCAAUGCAAUCCAAUCGUUCCUUUUUCAUGUCCUAACAACAUUUUCAUUCCUAACAAUCUUUUUUCCGAAGCAUCAAACCAUUUCACACUGUCAGACACUCACUCUCGUUAUAUAUAUAUAUUUGUAUACGGAAUCAUAAGAGUUAUAUUGUUUAAAUUGAAAGAAAGAGAGAGAGAGAAAAAACAUAUAAAAACCCAUACAUAAAAGUUGUAACAAAAAUACGCUUAAGUAUAAGGAAACUAAUAAGAAUUUAUUAUUUUUAUUGAGUUAAGUAGAGUCAAUAAGAAGAAGAAGAAG